AUGCAGCGACGCCGCGUGAGGGAUGACGGCCUUCGGGUUGUAAACCUCUUUCAGUAGGGAAGAAGCGAAAGUGACGGUACCUGCAGAAGAAGCGCCGGCUAACUACGUGCCAGCAGCCGCGGUAAUACGUAGGGCGCAAGCGUUAUCCGGAAUUAUUGGGCGUAAAGAGCUCGUAGGCGGUUUGUCGCGUCUGCCGUGAAAGUCCGGGGCUCAACUCCGGAUCUGCGGUGGGUACGGGCAGACUAGAGUGAUGUAGGGGAGACUGGAAUUCCUGGUGUAGCGGUGAAAUGCGCAGAUAUCAGGAGGAACACCGAUGGCGAAGGCAGGUCUCUGGGCAUUAACUGACGCUGAGGAGCGAAAGCAUGGGGAGCGAACAGGAUUAGAUACCCUGGUAGUCCAUGCCGUAAACGUUGGGCACUAGGUGUGGGGGACAUUCCACGUUUUCCGCGCCGUAGCUAACGCAUUAAGUGCCCC
rnacentral:rRNA from 1 species